CGGUUGUACCAAGAUAUUGACAGUUGAGGUAUGAACUACAAACUAUCAGUGGUUACUACCUUGGCGUUCAUGGCAGCUAUUCUGCUCACUGCUGUAAGUGCCCACAAGCGGGAAAAAACUCUGAGAUUUGCUAACGGGAAAUGUCACUAUAAUGGACAUACUAUCUCCGAUGGGAACUCGUUAUGGCCAUCGGACUGCACGCUACUUUUAUGCAAUGCAGCCGGACAACAUAUGAUUCUUUACGGGUGUCCUCCACCAUACGAUUACGAGGCAGAAACUUCCCCGAAUGAGAAUGAUUGGCCCAACUGCUGCUAUGAGAAUAAAUAGUGGAGUCUUCAACCUGCUACUAUUCCAUUUGCAAGAUUUUUGGCAACGAGAUGACUACUGAUUAUUUCACAAUAAAAGACCAAGCUGACUGCGCAAAUAACCCAGCUUGCACAAAAGAGAUAUAAUCAUUCAUAUUCAUGGAUACUUCGACUUGACCGUCCAAAAUCGAGAUUGAAAAAGUGAACAUCCAGAAGAAUUCAAUCAACCCGAAAAUUCGGCAAUAAGGCGGGUGAUGGAAGACGAUUAAAAUUGUGCGU